GAGCCCAGACCUUCAGUUAAGGUCCCCAAGUGCGCGGAAAGUGGAAAAGGAUGUGGGAUUUCGAAGACAACCAGGAUGUUGGCUCAGAAGCAGCCAUCCAUUCAAAGAGUGCGUAAUAGCUCACUGGUCGAGAGGUCCUGCGCCGAAAAUGUCCGGGGCUGAAACGCGCCACCGAAACUAAGGAACCGAAAGGUUGGUAGAGGAGCAUUGCAUGCGGAACGAAGCAGUACCGUAAGGAGCUGUGGACUGCAUGGAAGAGAGAAUGCCGGAAUGAGUAGCGAGAAUAAGGUGAGAAUCCUUAUGGCCGAAUAUCCAAGGUUUCCAGAGUAAAGCUGAUCUGCUCUGGGUAAGUCGGGGCCUAAGGCGAGGACGAGAGUCGUAGCCGAUGGACAACAGGUUGAGAUUCCUGUACUGCAGUAAGACAGAACUGUGGGGACACGUGUGGAGAGCAUAGGCGCGGAAUGGAAAGCCGCGUGCAAGCGAGGUAGGAGUCCUGUAGGAAAAACCGCAGGGCAAUCCGAAGGCGUGAUGCGGACCGAAAUCUAGUAGGGAAGUAUGUGAGCCAUGCGUCAAGAAAAGCCGCUAUUGUUCUUAUUGUACCCGUACCGUAAACCGACACAGGUGGAUGAGGAGAGAAUCCUAAGGCCGACGGGAGAAGCAUUGUUAAGGAACUCGGCAAAAUGACCCCGUAACUUCGGGAGAAGGGGUGCCACAGAAAUGUGGCCGCAGAGAAUAGGCUCAAGCAACUGUUUAGCAAAAACACAGGUCUAUGCAAAACCGAAAGGUGAGGUAUAUGGGCUGACGCCUGCCCGGUGCUGGAAGGUUAAGAGGAGAGGUUAGCGCAAGCGAAGCUUUGAAUUGAAGCCCCAGUAAACGGCGGCCGUAACUAUAACGGUCCUAAGGUAGCGAAAUUCCUUGUCGGGUAAGUUCCGACCCGCACGAAAGGCGUAAUGAUUUGAGCGCUGUCUCGACAAUGCAUCCGGUGAAAUUGAAGUACCAGUGAAGAUGCUGGUUACCUGCGCCAGGACGGAAAGACCCCAUGGAGCUUUACUCCAGUCUGGUACUGGGACUCGGUAUUGCAUGUACAGGAUAGGUGGGAGGCUGAGAAAUGGUAACGCCAGUUGCCAUGGAGCCGCUGUUGGGAUACCACCCUUGCAGUAUUGGGUUUCUAACCAGCCGCCGUGACCCGGCGGUGGGACAAUGCCAGACGGGGAGUUUGACUGGGGCGGUCGCCUCCGAAAGG
rnacentral:rRNA from 1 species